CCUACGGGGAGCAGCAGUAGGGAAUAUUGCUCAAUGGGGGAAACCCUGAAGCAGCAACGCCGCGUGGAGGAUGAAGGUUUUCGGAUUGUAAACUCCUUUUGUUAGAGAAGAUAAUGACGGUAUCUAACGAAUAAGCACCGGCUAACUCCGUGCCAGCAGCCGCGGUAAUACGGAGGGUGCAAGCGUUACGCGGAAUCACUGGGCGUAAAGAGCGCGUAGGCGGGAUAGCAAGUCAGAUGUGAAAUCCUAGGGCUUAACCAUAGAACUGAAUUUGAAACUGUUAUUCUAGAGUAUGGGAGAGGUAGGUGGAAUUCUUGGUGUAGGGGUAAAAUCCGUAGAGAUCAAGAGGAAUACUCAUUGCGAAGGCGACCUGCUAGAACAUAACUGACGCUGAUGCGCGAAAGCGUGGGGAGCAAACAGGAGUAGAUACCCCGGUAGUC
rnacentral:rRNA from 1 species